UACAGAGGGUGCGAGCGUUGUCCGGAAUUACUGGGCGUAAAGCGCGCGUAGGCGGUUCUUUGCGUGGGUUGUGAAAGCUCUCGGCUUACCUGAGAGAGGGCAGUCCAAACGGGAGAACUAGAGGGCGGUAGGGGCUGGCGGAAUGCCUGGAGUAGCGGUGAAAUGCGUUGAGAUCAGGCAGAACACCAGUGGCGAAGGCGGCCAGCUGGGCCGUACCUGACGCUGAGGCGCGAAAGCUAGGGGAGCGAACGGG
rnacentral:rRNA from 1 species